rnacentral:rRNA from 1 species
AUUGAACGCUGGCGGCAGGCCUAACACAUGCAGGUCGGACGGUAGCACAGAGAGCUUGCUCUUGGGUGACGAGUGGCGGACGGGUGAGUAAUGUCUGGGGAUCUGCCCGAUAGAGGGGGAUAACCACUGGAAACGGUGGCUAAUACCGCAUAACGUCGCAAGACCAAAGAGGGGGACCUUCGGGCCUCUCACUAUCGGAUGAACCCAGAUGGGAUUAGCUAGUAGGCGGGGUAAUGGCCCACCUAGGCGACGAUCCCUAGCUGGUCUGAGAGGAUGACCAGCCACACUGGAACUGAGACACGGUCCAGACUCCUACGGGAGGCAGCAGUGGGGAAUAUUGCACAAUGGGCGCAAGCCUGAUGCAGCCAUGCCGCGUGUAUGAAGAAGGCCUUCGGGUUGUAAAGUACUUUCAGCGGGGAGGAAGGCGGUGAGGUUAAUAACCUUGCCGAUUGACGUUACCCGCGGAAGAAGCACCGGCUAACUCCGUGCCAGCCGCCGCAGUAAAAC